UCAAAUAAAAUUUUUUUAUUAUUAUUUUCUUCGCUAUUUUUCCAUUUUUACAUAUUUUCUAAUUUUUUUCCUGGUCUUCCACGAAGGUUUCAAGACACACUCUUGAAUAGUUUACACAUCGACUACAGCGCAGUCUGCCGUAUCCUAUGUCCAAUUUGUUGAAGAUCGGAAAUAAGUACUGGAUCGAUGACAAAGAGACCAGCGACUUGGAAAAGACCUUUAAACUGAAUCAAUGAUGGAGAUAUCUUCGAAAAAAUCAAAAGUGAAAAGAAGAGGAGCGAAAAGGAGACAAAGCUCUGAGACAAACGUGAUAUAGGAAUAGAGCAAGAGAGAGAAUAAGAGAGAGUCUUAGUUUAUGAAAUGGUUAUUUUGAACUUCAUCUUUAAGAGAAAGCGAGCGCGAGAUGUAAAAAAACAAGAGAGAGGAAGAGAUUUUGAGAGGCUUUGCGCUUGAAAUGGUUACUUAUUUAUCUUUUUUAAUUGUGGGAAUAUAAAUGAAUUAAAGAUCGAAAGAGAGAAAGAAAUUGAGAAUGACCGGGAUAGAGAAGGUGAGAUGAAGGGAGAGAGGGAAUUAUAAACUUCGAGAGAAUCUUAAUUUAUAAAACGAACGUCUGGAAUCGACCAGCUGAAAUAAACCUUCGUUACAGUUUCAUAUGAAAGGACUGAAAAAGAACUGAAUUGAUUGCCUAGCUCAAUAACUCAAGAGAAAAAGUAUUUAACAUUACCAAAGAAAAAUGUAUAAAAAAAUGAUUUCAAAAUAUUGAAAUUAUUUUCCAAAAAAUAAUUUAAUCAAUAUUUGUACUCUGGAUAUUAUUCACAUGCAUGUUUAUUUAUUCGCUAUUACUUGAAAUGCAUAGAACUCACUAUUUUCUUGACCCAACUAUGCAAAUGAACUCAGUGAAAAUACCAAACCAACUUGAUUUGAAAGCAAAAACGAAACGGAACGUGGUCACUCCAGUUGAACAAUAACAAAAAAACAAAAAACAAACAUAUAUUGAUUCAGCAAAUUUUUGCAUAUCAUUGAAUACUUGAAUAACUCGCACUAUCAACAUCCAACAACGGAGCACAAUGCUUCAAUGGACACAGGGUUGCAUGGAAUGCAUUUUUGGUUAUGGCUUUUAGCUCUAUAUGUAUAUAUUUCAUGCGAGAUAACAAGUUUUGAGUUUUGGUGGUGUUUGUGGGUCGGAUGGUGAAGAUCUAGAAAUUUAGUUUAAAUAUAUGAAUUUGAAGAAUCUCAAUUGGACUCUCUCACCUUUGCUAUUUUUUCGACAAACUUUAACAGUUCCUAUUCUAAACUAGAAGUUUUAGAACAAAAGCCAAACCAUUGAAUUGAAUGUAUAAAAUUCGUAAAAACAAUGGACUACCCUAGUAUAAAUAUAAAAAACCACUGUCCAACGGACAUUGCCAUUCAAUUGAAUGGAAAUGAAAAUGGAAUAUUCGACUGCCUCACUAGCUCCAUAACUGAGUAGCUGGGAGAAGGAAGAGCGCACCAAAUCGGUUGUGAGUACAUAUACAAACUAUAUAUAGCGCUGCAGCGGUAGUUGCUGUUUGAAUUUAUUGCAUACAGCCGACGGCCAGUGUCAUAGCCACAGCUGAAGCAAAGUCAAAGCAAACUAGUCGAUACUGCGCCUCCAAGGCAGAGAGAAAGACAGGAAUGUGUUCGCAGCGAAAAAUAAUAGCAAAACCAACCUAGUUGGCGACUGCAGCUGACAUUGGUUACGUGGCUUUGCCAUUUACAAUCGACAAUUUGCUAUGGGCUGUUGCUUACUUGUGCUUAUGUGCUAAGAAGCACACAUACCUUUCAUUCAGCACCAUAAUAACCAGCGGCACUCCUGCCUGCUGCAGCUCUCCCUCGCCCGUUUAAGUGACCACAGCCAACAUCCAGGCUUAAAUAUGGCAAACAUUUGAAUUGACUUCGCAUUGUUUCGGUGCUUGUAUUUGCAAGGUAUUGUUUAAUGCAGUGAAUGCCUAUUUGGCUGCCUAUUCUAACAAGCAAGGAUCCAAGUGACCAGGUUUUUUGCGGAUACUUUUCGAUUCAGUCAAAAUUUGCUUAGCUGUGAGUUCGGAAGCCGUUUUC